rnacentral:snRNA from 1 species
AUACUUACCUGGCAGGGGAGAUACCAUGAUCACGAAGGUGGUUUUCCCAGGGUGAGGCUUAUCCACUGCACUCCGGAUGUGCUGACCCCUGCAAUUUCCCCAAAUGCGGGAAAGUCGACUGCAUAAUUUGCGGUAGUGGAGGACUGCGUUUAUGCUUUA